AACACUCAGUCAGGCAGGGCAUUGGGGCCACAAGCAGCCGGGGAUGGCCAUGCAUCAGGAUAUGUUAAGUUAGGUUAGGUGAGUGGGGCUGAUUUUAAUGCUGAUGUCCCUGCACUGUCAUUGGAGCACAUUAGGUUAGGUUAGGUUAAGUUAGGAUAUGUUAUUUAAGUUAGUUGGGUUGAUUUUAAUACAGACAUCCUUAGACUGACACACUUCAGGAUUAGGUCAAGUUAGUUAAGCAAAUAAAUUAGGAUGUUAGGUUAAGUUAGUAGGGUUCACUUAAAUCCUACUGUCCCAACACUGUCAUUAGCCUGCAUUAGGUUAGUUAUGUACUUAUGUUAGGUUAAAUUAAGUUAGGUUAGAUUAGUGGGGCUGAUUUUAAACCUAAGUUACAUUAGUGGGGCUGACUUUAAACCUCACGUCCCUUCACUGACACUCUUUCACACUAAGUUGGAUUAGGUUACUCAAAUACACAAGUUAAGAUAUGUUAGAUUAGGUUAGGUUAGUGGGGCUGCAGCAAUGAUAUCAACCUUCAACUGGGGUGCAAAUGCAUGUUACGAAGCACUUAUUAAAUACAUGCUUUUGGUGAGGAAAUAAAAGUCAGUUAAUAAAACACUGUAAGGGGGGAUGCAAGACAGCUUAAGCUUGCUCAUACUGUUACCUUUGAAGCCGAGUGCUGGGGAGAAGCUGGAGGUAUAGUCAUAUGUGUGUAUUUACCUAUCUAUCCAUUUCUCUAUCUAUCUAUUAUCUGUCCACUUAAUACACACCCAACAUGUAACACACAACGUCCCUUCACACAAACAUCAUAACAGCUGAAGACACAUAUAACAUCCUUAGCCACGAACCCACAUGAAUAUCCCUUUCUCUCUUUCAUUCCUCAAUACCACAAUCCUUAUAUGCCCUUAGAGAAUGCCUGUAAGAAGCAUAUAUGACCCUUUAGUCUCGAACGCACAGUCACAUCGCUUUAUCGGACUUUACACCACUGCCAAUGUCACACCCAGAUAUAUAUAACCCCUCAAGCAUGUAAGAAAAUAUAAAGAAAAACUGCUUCAAAACACAAGACUAUAUAUGGAUAAUACCAAGAAAGUGACUCCAUCUUAAUUCAAUGGCUAGGUUAGGUAAGAUUAGGUUUAGAUAGGGUUCAUUAGAGGUAAUUUUGAAUGGCAAUCACUAUGGGAGUAUUUUCCAGAACGCCACGUGGUUAGUUUUAAAGCUACAGCCGAGCCUCUUCACUCAAUGACCACAUACCUGCAGGGUGACGGGAUAUACCUGCCGUCCACCUGUCUAUCUCACCUUGCGCGGCACAGUUCACACACACACUUUUCCUUACAUCUACCUGCCGUACACACACACACACACCUUUCCAUACAUAUACCUGCUGUCCACCUGUCUAACUCACCUUACGUGACACAGUUCACACACACACUUUUCCUUAUAUCUACCUGCCGUACACACACACACACACACACACACACACACACACACACACACACA